CUACAGGAUCUGUCUGCCUGUUGGGGUUAUGAGAAGAACUGUGAUCCAGGAAGGCGCUUUGGCUAUCCAGUCUGUACUAAAGCUGAUUCAGGAUGGGCCCAUUCUCUGGAGGCAGCCCAGGAGCUUUUCUGGAAGCAGGCUGAUUUUGGCUACGUCAAGGAGCGCCUCUCUGAGCUCAAAACACUCUGCAAGGCCAGCAAGCCAGGGGACUCAUUAUUAAGAUGUAGUAGCCACACUCGCUUCUGUAAGGCUACUAACCUUUACCUGGACUUGCGUAAGCCGCGCAGAAGUCAUGAGAGGUACAAGGAGGACUUCAUUCAGAAGGGUGAGAUUGGUGGUUAUUGCAAACUCAACAAGCGAGCACUUGCUGCUGAGGGAGAGCACAAGAGCCCCUUGCAAU